rnacentral:misc_RNA from 1 species
GCACUAUGAGUUUACUGUUAUGCCCUUUGUCUUAACGAAUGCUCCAGCUACAUUUCAAGCCCUUAUGACCUACAUUUUCUAACCAUUUCUGAGGAAAUUUGUUUUGGUAUUUUUUGAUGAUAUCCUAGUUCAUAGUUCUUCUUGGGAGGAGCAUUUGUAGCACCUAGAAGAAUUUUUUUAAGGUUCUAUAGCAGCAGAGGCUAUAUGCUAAGCUUAACAAGUGCUCUUUUGGGAACCAUGAGAUCGAUUAUUUGGGGCACAUCAUUACUGGCAAAGGAGUGGCAACUGAUCCUGCCAAGAUCCAAGCCAUGGCAUCUUGGCCAAGCCCCAAAUUAGUAAAGGAACUUAGGAGCUUCUUGGGAUUAACCGGAUACUAUAGAAAAUUUGUUCCUCAUUAUGGAGUAAUUAGCAAGCCCCUGACUUACUUGUUCAAAAAUGAUGCCUUUACAUGGGAUGACAAGGCUCAAUAGGCCUUUGAGACACUCAAGGCUGCUAUGUCUCAAGCUCCUAUACUAGCUUUGCCAAACUUUACAAAACCUUUCAUAAUAGAGACUGAUGUGUUACGUACUAUAGAAAGAAAUA